rnacentral:rRNA from 1 species
GGGCCCGCACAAGCGGUGGAGCAUGUGGUUUAAUUCGACGCAACGCGAAGAACCUUACCUACACUUGACAUCCUCGGAACUUUCUAGAGAUAGAUUGGUGCCUUCGGGAACCGAGUGACAGGUGCUGCAUGGCUGUCGUCAGCUCGUGUCGUGAGAUGUUGGGUUAAGUCCCGUAACGAGCGCAACCCUUAUCCUUAAUUGCCAGCGGUUAGGCCGGGAACUCUAAGGAGACUGCCGAUGACAAAUCGGAGGAAGGUGGGGGACGACGUCAAGUCAUCAUGGCCCUUACGUGUAGGGCUACACACGUGCUACAAUGGCAGUGACAAUGGGAUAAUCCCCCCAAAAGCUGUCUCA